rnacentral:rRNA from 1 species
AUGCUAAGGACCUGCUCCUCACAGCAAUCGCGGCAGCAUGCUACUGACGGGCAACCAAAACGCACAAAAAGAAGCCAACCAUACAAACAUCCAUGGGUAAAACGCAAGAGGGGUAGCAUGCACUUAAGCCUAAUUAAACAUCAGUUCAACAAGAGCAAAAAAGUGCAGGAUCUAAAACGAGACACAUUUUAUAUUUUAUCACAGGGCGCCAUGGCGACAAGAAUGGUUCAAGGUUGUGCUUGGCGGCCUUCUAGGACCCUGGAGACGGAAAGAACCUUGCCGGCGAAGGGGCCAACCUUCUCCUCGGCAACAGAAAUGUCGGCGCCUGCCGAUAGCCUCCUGAAGGCAUUGGCGAUAGGCAAGGUUGCUCAGGACCAUGAAGAGGGCAUCGCGGGCAAGUUUUCGGGACUCAUUUGCAAAGCAUGCAGCCCUCUCAUCCUUGUAUGUCUUCAGCCCAUCGAUCAAGCCUUCAAAGAAGAGCAUCAGCUUCACGUUUGGGACUUCAUGGCUGUUGACAGAGAAGGCCCAGCUCUUCAUGUACAUCUUCGAGAUCUGGGCAGUGAGGUGUUCGGAGAUAUCAACCAAGCUCUUGAUCCAGAGAUCGCGCUGCUCAACUUGGAUCUGCAAUUUAUCCUCCAUGUCUUUUCGGAGAACUCUCGCAUUGUCCAGGUCCUUCAUCAAUUGCUGCUCCCGAGCUCCGGCAGACUCAGUCCUACUCUCUAA